ACUGCAGUCGACGAACUCUGGUAUUGAUUGGUGCUUGCAUCAUGAUUUACAUUUGAGUGAGUGGCGAACUGGUGAGUAACACGUGGGAAACCUGCCCAGAAGCGGGGGAUAACACCUGGAAACAGAUGCUAAUACCGCAUAACAACUUGGACCGCAUGGUCCGAGUUUGAAAGAUGGCUUCGGCUAUCACUUUUGGAUGGUCCCGCGGCGUAUUAGCUAGAUGGUGAGGUAACGGCUCACCAUGGCAAUGAUACGUAGCCGACCUGAGAGGGUAAUCGGCCACAUUGGGACUGAGACACGGCCCAAACUCCUACGGGAGGCAGCAGUAGGGAAUCUUCCACAAUGGACGAAAGUCUGAUGGAGCAACGCCGCGUGAGUGAAGAAGGGUUUCGGCUCGUAAAACUCUGUUGUUAAAGAAGAACAUAUCUGAGAGUAACUGUUCAGGUAUUGACGGUAUUUAACCAGAAAGCCACGGCUAACUACGUGCCAGCAGCCGCGGUAAUACGUAGGUGGCAAGCGUUGUCCGGAUUUAUUGGGCGUAAAGCGAGCGCAGGCGGUUUUUUAAGUCUGAUGUGAAAGCCUUCGGCUCAACCGAAGAAGUGCAUCGGAAACUGGGAAACUUGAGUGCAGAAGAGGACAGUGGAACUCCAUGUGUAGCGGUGAAAUGCGUAGAUAUAUGGAAGAACACCAGUGGCGAAGGCGGCUGUCUGGUCUGUAACUGACGCUGAGGCUCGAAAGUAUGGGUAGCAAACAGGAUUAGAUACCCUGGUAGUCCAUACCGUAAACGAUGAAUGCUAAGUGUUGGAGGGUUUCCGCCCUUCAGUGCUGCAGCUAACGCAUUAAGCAUUCCGCCUGGGGAGUACGGCCGCAAGGCUGAAACUCAAAGGAAUUGACGGGGGCCCGCACAAGCGGUGGAGCAUGUGGUUUAAUUCGAAGCUACGCGAAGAACCUUACCAGGUCUUGACAUACUAUGCAAAUCUAAGAGAUUAGACGUUCCCUUCGGGGACAUGGAUACAGGUGGUGCAUGGUUGUCGUCAGCUCGUGUCGUGAGAUGUUGGGUUAAGUCCCGCAACGAGCGCAACCCUUAUUAUCAGUUGCCAGCAUUAAGUUGGGCACUCUGGUGAGACUGCCGGUGACAAACCGGAGGAAGGUGGGGAUGACGUCAAAUCAUCAUGCCCCUUAUGACCUGGGCUACACACGUGCUACAAUGGAUGGUACAACGAGUUGCGAACUCGCGAGAGUAAGCUAAUCUCUUAAAGCCAUUCUCAGUUCGGAUUGUAGGCUGCAACUCGCCUACAUGAAGUCGGAAUCGCUAGUAAUCGCGGAUCAGCAUGCCGCGGUGAAUACGUUCCCGGGCCUUGUACACACCGCCCGUCACACCAUGAGAGUUUGUAACACCCAAAGUCGGUGGGGUAACCUUUUAGGAACCAGCCGCCA
rnacentral:rRNA from 2 species